UCCCUGGUGGUCUAGUGGUUAAGACUCUCUGCUUCCAAGGCAGGGGGCUCGGGUUUCAUCCCUGGUUGAGGAA
rnacentral:tRNA from 1 species